GUGCCAGCAGCCGCGGUAAUACGUAGGGUGCGAGCGUUGUUCGGAGUUAUUGGGCGUAAAGGGCGUGUAGGCGGCUUGAGAAGUCUGAUUUGAAAUGCACUGGCUCAACUGGUGCGCUGGGUCAGAAACUGGCAGGCUAGAGUUCAUAGGGAGGAACUGGAAUUCCAGGUGUAGGGGUGAAAUCUGUAGAGAUCUGGAAGAACACCGGUAGCGAAGGCGGGUUCCUAUGGAUGGACUGACGCUGAGGCGCGAAAGCGUGGGGAGCGAACAGGAUUAGAAACCCCCGUAGUCC
rnacentral:rRNA from 1 species